GACGAACGCUGGCGGCGUGCUUAACACAUGCAAGUCGAACGGUGAAGCGCCUUCCUUUUUGGUGGGUGUGGAUGAGUGGCGAACGGGUGAGUAACACGUGAGUAACCUGCCCCCUUCUUCUGGAUAACCGCAUGAAAGUGUGGCUAAUACGGGAUAUUCUGGGUCUGUCGCAUGAUGGGUCUGGGAAAGAUAUUGUUUCGGUGGGGGAUGGGCUCGCGGCCUAUCAGCUUGUUGGUGGGGUGAUGGCCUACCAAGGCGGGGACGGGUAGCCGGCCUGAGAGGGUGGACGGCAACACUGGGACUGAGACACGGCCCAGACUCCUACGGGAGGCAGCAGUGGGGAAUAUUGCACAAUGGGCGAAAGGCUGAUGCAGCGACGCCGCGUGAGGGAUGGAGGCCUUCGGGUUGUGAACCUCUUUCGCCAGUGAAGCAGGCCUGCCUCGUUUGUGGGUGGGUUGACGGUAGCUGGAUAAGAAGCGCCGGCUAACUACGUG
rnacentral:rRNA from 1 species